rnacentral:rRNA from 1 species
GACGAACGCUGGCGGCGUGCCUAAUACAUGCAAGUUGAGCGCUGAAGGUUGGUGCUUGUCCCUACUGGAUGAGCAGCGAACGGGUGAGUAACGCGUGGGUAAUCUGCCUUUGAGCGGGGGACAACAUUGGGAAACGAAUGCUAAUACCGCAUAAAAACUUUAAACACAAGUUUUAAGUUUGAAAGAUGCAAUUGCAUCACUCAAAGAUGAUCCCGCGUUGGCUUAGCUAGUUGGUGAGGGAAAGGCCCACCAAGGCGAUGAUACAUAGCCGACCUGAGAGGGUGAACGGCCACAAUGGGAAUGGGACACGGCCCAAACCCCUACGGGAGGCAGCAGUAGGGAAUCUUCGGCAAUGGACGAAAGUCUGACCGAGCAACGCCGCGUGAGGGAAGAAGGGUCUCGGAUCGGAAAACUCCGUUGGUAGGGAAGGACGUUGGUGAGAGUGGAAAGCUCAUGAAGUGACGGUAACUACCCAGAAAGGGACGGCUAACUACGUG